AGCAGCCGCGGUAAUUCCAGCUCCAAUAGCGUAUAUUAAAGUUGUUGCAGUUAAAAAGCUCGUAGUUGAAUUUCGGGGUUAGUAGGUUGGUCAUGCCUCUGGUAUGUACUGGUCUCACUGAUUCCUCCUUCCUGAUGAGCCGUAAUGCCAUUAAUUUGGUGUUGCGGGGAAUUUGGACUGUUACUUUGAAAAAAUUAGAGUGUUUAAAGCAAGCUAACGCUUGAAUACAUUAGCAUGGAAUAAUGAAAUAGGACGUUCGAUCCUAUUUUGUAGGUUUCUAGGAUUGACGUAAUGAUUAAUAGGGAUAGUUGGGGGCAUUAGUAUUCAAUUGUCAGAGGUGAAAUUCUCGGAUUUAUUGAAGACUAACUACUGCGAAAGCAUUUGCCAAGGAUGUUUUCAUUAAUCAAGAACGAAAGUUAGGGGAUCGAAGACGAUCAGAUACCGUCGUAGUCUUAACCAUAAACUAUGCCGACUAGGGAUCGGAUGAUGUUAAUUUUUUAAUGACUCA
rnacentral:rRNA from 1 species